rnacentral:rRNA from 1 species
UACGGGGGGGGCAAGCGUUGUUCGGAAUUACUGGGCGUAAAGGGCUCGUAGGUGGCCAACUAAGUCAGACGUGAAAUCCCUCGGCUUAACCGGGGAACUGCAUCUGAUACUGGAUGGCUUGAGUUCGGGAGAGGGAUGCGGAAUUCCAGGUGUAGCGGUGAAAUGCGUAGAUAUCUGGAGGAACACCGGUGGCGAAGGCGGCUCACUGGCCCGGUACUGACGCUGAGGUGCGAAAGCGUGGGGAGCAAACAGG